rnacentral:rRNA from 1 species
UACAGAGGUCCCAAGCGUUGUUCGGAUUCACUGGGCGUAAAGGGUGCGUAGGCGGUCGGGUAAGUCUGAUGUGAAAUCUCACAGCUUAACUGUGAAACUGCAUUGGAUACUAUCCGGCUCGAGGAAUGGAGGGGAGACUGGAAUACUUGGUGUAGCAGUGAAAUGCGUAGAUAUCAAGUGGAACACCAGUGGCGAAGGCGAGUCUCUGGACAUUUCCUGACGCUGAGGCACGAAAGACAGGGGAGCAAACGGG